rnacentral:misc_RNA from 1 species
CGUGCAAUUCUCUUUUGCAGUCAGCUAUGACAAUUGCACAUAGCAAUUUUUACUGUUGAAAAUUCAAAUGCUUAUUCUGAGAAAUAAACGGAAUACUGCAGAUGAACAGUUUUAUAUUCUCAUUACACAUUUCAUUCAAGAAAUUCGACUAAAGUUUGGACUUACUCUAAAACGUGCGCUACUCAAGUACUCAACUAUUAUAAUAGUGAAGUAUUUCAAUUUUCAUGCCUUGUUUCUGAGUCAAACAAGACAAGGAAUAUUUAGAACCCAUACCUUCAUUUGCUGUCGCUCAUCCUG